rnacentral:rRNA from 1 species
AUUGAAAGCUGGCGGCAGGCCUAACACAUGCAAGUCGAGCGGAGCGGCGGACGGGUGAGUAAUGCCUAGGAAUCUGCCUGGUAGUGGGGGAUAACGUCCGGAAACGGGCGCUAAUACCGCAUACUAUCAGAUGAGCCUAGGUCGGAUUAGCUAUUUGGUGGGGUAAAGGCCUACCAAGGCGACGAUCCUUAACUGGUCUGAGAGGAUGAUCAGUCACACUGGAGCGUAGACAAGGUCCAAGCUCCUACGGGAGGCAGAAGUAGGGAAUAUUGCACAAUGGGCGCAAGCCUGAUGCAGCCAUGCCGCGUGUAUGAAGAAGGCCUUCGAGUUGUAAAGUACUUUCAGCGGGGAGGCGUUACCCGCAGAAGAAGCACCAGCUAACUCCGUGCCAGCAGCCACGGUAAUUC